rnacentral:lncRNA from 1 species
AGAGAUCCCCAGUGCCUAUCAGUCUAUUCACCUUCCAGCUCAUGUGAGAACUGUGAAGCCUCCACUUCCUCAAAUACCCACAGCACUGGGCUUUUGCGGGUUGUGAAUGAGAGAAGGUAGACUUAAAAUAUGCAAAGUUCCUUCCAAACCAUGACUUUGCUGAAGAAACUACAUCUUAGAAAGGCUACCUGACUUGCCCAUAAUUUCACCAGAAGUAAGGGGUUGGCAGGGACCUAUGGUGGAUGAAAAUCUGCCCAAGGCCUCGCUGAACUGCCCACUCACGCAGUGGUCAGGAAGAUGCUCUGCUCUCCCCGGGAGACAUCACCAAAGACACGAGAGGAAACUCUGGCCCAAGCUCACCUGAUGCUCAGAAUAACAGAAUUGAGACUCUAAGCCAGUGAAGGUGGCUGACCUGGGGCCUGUACAGGCCAACUGCUCAUCCCUACUGAUAUUCUCACCUCACCUUUUCAGUGUGGACCUCCUGAACUCCAAGCAAAGCAUCCAGCCCGCUCUAAACAUCCCCACAAGGAUGCCCACGGCUCCCAUUGCAGUUGCCUUUCUCCCUGCAGGCGGAAUUGAUCUCCUUCCUCUCAAAUGUACCCUGGCUCCUGUGUUCUGUAUUCUCAUCACUGCUCCCAGUGAGACCCUGGGAGACCUCACUGACCCUCUGUACCCUUCACUUCUGUUCCCCACACCACCUGGGGCCUUGCUCAGAUGCAUGCCCGCAGUCCACCUCCUCCCUCUGCUGCUGCUGCCCCUUUCCUACCUCGAGACUUGGAAGUAUUGGGAUGAGAUCUCUGACUGAAAUAUCCUGAGUGGCCUCUGCUUUCCCUGUCCCUCAUUCCUCCUCCAUUUUGCUCCCAGAACUU